UUCUCUGCUGCUAUAUGUUCAGGGUCAGAGGUGAACGCCAACGCCUCUCUCAGUCACAGGCUAUGCAUUUGCCUUUCGGUGUCUGUUCCUGAACAUCGGAUGAACUGUGGAAGAAACUGAAAUACAAAGAACA